rnacentral:rRNA from 1 species
UUCCCCUAGUAACGGCGAGUGAAGCGGGAUGAGCUCAAAUUUAAAAUCUGGCAGUCUUUGAUUGUCCGAGUUGUAAUCUAGAGAAGUGUUUUCCGCGCUGGACUGUGUACAAGUUUCCUGGAUACGGAACAUCAUAGAGGGUGAGAAUCCCGUCCUUGACACAGACUCCCAGUGCUCUGUGAUGCACUCUCAACGAGUCGAGUUGUUUGGGAUUGCAGCUCAAAAUGGGAGGUAAAUUCCUUCUAAAGCUAAAUAUUGGCGAGAGACCGAUAGCGAACAAGUACCGUGAGGGAAAGAUGAAAAGCACUUUGGAAAGAGAGUUAAACAGUACGUGAAAUUGUUAAAAGGGAAACGAUUGAAGUCAGUCACGUCUGCUUGGACUCAGCCUUACCUCGGUUUGGUGCAUUUCCUUGUAGACGGGCCAGCGUCCAUGUUGUCCGUCGGAAAAGGUGCGUGGGAAUGUGGCUUCUUCGGGAGUGUUAUAGCCCAUGUUCGUAUACGGCGUGUGAUAUGGAGUGGUACAGCAUGCUUCGGCGGUGCUUGUGCUGGCAUAAUGGCUUUAAACGACCCGUCUUGAAACACGGACCAAGGAGUCUAACAUGUCUGCGAGUGUUUGGGUGGAAAACCCGAGCGCGCAAUGAAAGUGAUAGCUGGGAACCCCUUAUGGGAGGCACCGGCGCCCCGAGCUGACCUUCUGUGACGCAUCGGAGGUAGAGCAUAUAUGUUGGGACCCGAAAGAUGGUGAACUAUGCCUGCAUAGGGCGAAGCCAGAGGAAACUCUGGUGGAGGCUCGUAGCGAUUCUGACGUGCAAAUCGAUCGUCAAAUGUGGGUAUAGGGGCGAAAGACUAAUCGAACCAU